GACGAACGCUGGCGGCAUGCCUAAUACAUGCAAGUCGAGCGAACAGAUGAAGUGCUUGCACUUCUGACGUUAGCGGCGAACGGGUGAGUAACACGUAAGGAAUCUACCUAUAAGCGGGGGAUAACAUUUGGAAACGGGUGCUAAUACCGCAUAAUAUCUUCUUCCGAAUGGAAGAAGAUUGAAAGACGGCUCUGCUGUCACUUAUAGAUGACCUUGCGGUGCAUUGGUUAGUUGGUGGGGUAACGGCCUACCAAGACGAUGAUGCAUAGCCGACCUGAGAGGGUGAUGGGCCACAUUGGGGCUGAGACACGGCCAAAACGCCUACGGGAGGCAGCAGUAGGGAAUCUUCCGCAAUGGGCCAAAGCCUGACGGAGCAAUGCCGCGUGAGUGAAGAAGGCCUUCGGGUCGUAAAACUCUGUUAUAAGAGAAGAACAAAUUGUAGAGUAACUGCUACAGUCUUGACGGUAUCUUAUCAGGAAGCCACGGCUAACUACGUGCCAGCCGCCGCAGUAA
rnacentral:rRNA from 1 species